rnacentral:rRNA from 1 species
AUUGAACGCUGGCGGCAUGCCUUACACAUGCAAGUCGAACGGUAACAGGUCUUCGGAUGCUGACGAGUGGCGAACGGGUGAGUAAUACAUCGGAACGUGCCUAGUAGUGGGGGAUAACUACUCGAAAGAGUGGCUAAUACCGCAUGAGAUCUACGGAUGAAAGCAGGGGAUUGCAAGACCUUGUGCUACUAGAGCGGCCGAUGGCAGAUUAGGUAGUUGGUGGGAUAAAAGCUUACCAAGCCGACGAUCUGUAGCUGGUCUGAGAGGACGAUCAGCCACACUGGGACUGGGACACGGCCCAGACUCCUACGGGAGGCAGCAGUGGGGAAUUUUGGACAAUGGGCGCAAGCCUGAUCCAGCAAUGCCGCGUGCAGGAUGAAGGCCUUCGGGUUGUAAACUGCUUUUGUACGGAACGAAAAGCCCUGGGUUAAUACCCUGGGGUCAUGACGGUACCGUAAGAAUAAGCACCGGCUAACUACGUGCCAGCCGCCGCGGUAAGAC